rnacentral:lncRNA from 1 species
UAACGGGUUCUUAACGGGUCACCCGAUAGUGACCCAAUAAGUUAUCGUGUUGAUCCGAAACCCGUUAUUUUCGUGUCGUUUUUGUGUCGUGUCAAAAACUGCUAGGUCUACGUGAAACCAACUUCAAAACUUACUAUACAAAUAAAAAAGGUUGAAACUUUUAAUUAUCCAAACCCAAAAAUGAAAAUUUAACUAUAUUAAUUAAAAUAAACUCAUGGGCAGCACGAAAAAAAGAAAGAAACGAUGUUACCCAAAAGCAUACUUAAAUUUUGUACCCAUCAUUUCUACCAUGUGUGUCAUCUCCUAAUAUUUCUUUCCUUCCCUCUCCUCUUACUUGAAUGAUUACGAUUAAGUUACGUUAACAUCUUAUAUUAAUCAAUUUUUAUAGAGAUAAUAAGACAAAAAACAAUAUGUGAGAGGAGGGGACGGAAAUGGAUGAGAAUAGGAAGGGAGAAAAUCAUACUCCAUUCUUACCAUCUACUUGUACUAUCUUUUAUACCAUCUCUCUAAUAAAGAUGAGACACAUAUGUAAUGGUGGGCCUAUCUCUAUUAAAGAGAUGGUACAAACAGAUGGUAAGUAUAACACUACUCUUUGUGUUAAUCAUUUAGGUAUAUUAAUCAAUUUAAUAUAUUUAUAUACAUUUUUGUACAGACAUUCAUUUUAAUAUAUCUCGGAAAAUGUAUUUGCAUAUUUUUCUUAUGUGUCAUUAAUGUUUUUUAAAAUAUUCCCAUUUAGGAUUAAAGUUUUGAUUAAAUUUCAAUUUUUAUUGAAGGAUUAAAGUUGAAAAAUCCCCUUUAUUUCUAUGAGUGUAGGUGUUAAUACUCCGAAAUAAAUAUGACGAACUUCAUACAAGCAAGGAGGGAGGAAGUGGAUGAUAACUUUUUUAUUAAUAACAAUCUCCUUUCCAAAAUGGGAAUAUUUAAAUGAAUCAUAUGAGAAGUAAUUUUCGCACACAUUUUUAUUCCUUUUAACAUUGAGAGGUAGAUUUGAUUUUCGCAAAAGAUAAAUUUGAACUAAAUUAUUAUAAUCCGCCCAUUUUGAAGCUUUGCUCACUCCCUUUACUCCUUUGUGUAAAUAAUAUUGUAUGUAUUAAAAAAGCAUUGGUUUGAGAGCUUUAAUGAAAAGGGUUUAGGCUAAGUUUAUUUUAACCAAAAACCAUGCUAUAACUUUAUUUAAUAAAAAAAUUAAAUAUUAAUGAAAAACCCUUAAAUUUUAAUAAAAAGGACAAAGAAACUUAAAUUUUAAUGAAAAGGACACAAUUUUAAUAUAAUUUUUUUUAAAAAAAGGACCUGACGCGCGUGCCUCUAUCACAGACACUGUUUAUGAAACUGAAACAUUAUUUAUGAAACGGAACACUAUUUAUGAAAUUGAACGCUAUUUAUGAAAUUGAACAGUACUACACUAUUUAUUAGUCAAGUUUCAUAAAUAGUGCCUAGUUCUUGGUCAUGUUUAAUAAAUAGUGUCUAGUUAUUGGGUCCAGUUUCAUAAAUACUGUCUAGUUCUUGGCCAUGUUUCAUAAAUAUUGCCUAGUUAUUGGGUCUAGUUUCAUAAAUAGUGUACAGUAAUUGGUACAGUUUCAUAAAUAGUGUCUUUUUCUUGGUCCAAUUUCAUAAAUAGUGUCUAGUUAUUAGUCCACCUUCAUAAAUAGUGCCUAAUUCUUGGUCGUGUUUCAUAAAUAAUGUUUAGUUCUUGGUCAAGUUUCAUAAAUAGUGUAUAGUCCAAUUUCAUAAAUAGUUUCCACAUAUUGGCUUAGUUUUAAAAAUAGUACCGAUGACACACCUCGACUGAGAUCAAGGCAUGCUGGCCGUCACGUGAGGAUGACGUAGCCAUGUGCACAUUGCGGAAGCAAUGAAGAUAAGAAUGAUAUGAAUAAUUAAAUACCGAAACUACUAGAGUGCACUACUAAACAGGAAGUGUUAAGAGUAAGAUACAAAAGUAAACAUUCCUAAUCAGAGCAUAUAAAGUCUAGGUGCAGUCCAGUAGGACAAAUACUAAUUAUACAGUACCAUAAGAUGUCAUACAAUUAUUUAGAUAGGUCAGAACCGCCGAAGUCCUCACACCCAGCAACUGCAAACUUACCUAAAACCUGGAGGGGCGCAAAACAGAAAACAUGAGUGGGCAAAAAAAAAUGUUUUACAAAACCAUUUCAUUUAUCAACAUAUCUAACCCCUCGCUGUAAAACAUGUAUAACUUUUCCCAUAAUCAAGAUAUAUGCAUAUACAUAAAUAUAUAUGAAAUUAUAUCAAUUCAAAUCAUACUUCACAUAAUCAUAUUCAUAUAUAUGCCAUGCCAAGAUAUAACAGAGUAAGCAAUUUAGAUAAGAAUACUUUCAUAUAAAUGUAACAUGUUAGCCGGAAUCCCUGUGGUAGUCCGUACGACUGAAUUCAUAGCUCAAAAUCAAUCUAGCCGGAGUCACUAUAAUGACCUAUAGGACAACAUACUGCACAAGAGUCGGAACCAAAGGAAAAGGUCUGUACGACAAUAAUGGGUGUAAUAUAAUCAUGCUAAAUUCUACUCACACAUAAUAGCUGGGCGAUAAAUCGCUAGUCACCUACGAGUCGAAACCAUAAAUAAGGUCUGUACAACAAAACUGUGCAUCUAAAUUGGAUCUAAUAUGAGCAUAUGGUGCGGGAGGUGACAUAAUAAACAGGCAUGUGCCAUAUCUCUGGCUAAUUCACAAUCACCCUAAGUGCAGUUUUAUGAGCUCAACAUUAUUCAAUCACAUAUCGCACCAUUGACAAUUCACAU